rnacentral:rRNA from 1 species
AUUGAACGCUAGCGGGAUGCUUUACACAUGCAAGUCGAACGGCAGCGCGGACUUCGGUCUGGCGGCGAGUGGCGAACGGGUGAGUAAUGUAUCGGAACGUGCCCAGUAGCGGGGGAUAACUACGCGAAAGCGUAGCUAAUACCGCAUACGCCCUACGGGGGAAAGCAGGGGAUCGUAAGACCUUGCACUAUUGGAGCGGCCGAUAUCGGAUUAGCUAGUUGGUGAGGUAACGGCUCACCAAGGCGACGAUCCGUAGCUGGUUUGAGAGGACGACCAGCCACACUGGGACUGAGACACGGCCCAGACUCCUACGGGAGGCAGCAGUGGGGAAUUUUGGACAAUGGGGGCAACCCUGAUCCAGCCAUCCCGCGUGUGCGAUGAAGGCCUUCGGGUUGUAAAGCACUUUUGGCAGGAAAGAAACGUCGCGGGCUAAUACCCCGUGGAACUGACGGUACCUGCAGAAUAAGCACCGGCUAAUUACGUG